rnacentral:rRNA from 1 species
AUGAGCCAGCAAAUCCCAUCAACAGGUGUUGGUGGCUCAAGCACUGCCUCAAUAGCAGCACCUUCAUUCCCUCAAGUUGUUGAUUCGGAUGACCCUGCGUGGAAGUAUUGGACUCUUCCAGAUGUGAACAAGAAGCAUUGGCAGCGAUGCAACUAUUGUGGCAAGAUAUGCACAGCUGGCAUUACAAGGAUAAAGUUUCACCUUUCACAAAUAACGAAUUGUGGUGUCUUACCAUGCAAGAAGGUUCCUAGUGAUGUCAGGCUGGAGAUGAUAGCUUUGCUCCUAAAGAGUGUUGAGCUGAAGGAAAAAAAGAUCGAGGGAUUGGAGGCGCUCAGAUCUAGUGUUGACUUAGAUCACUCCGAUGAAGAACAAGAAACUGAUGAAGAAGAUGGCAAUCAGGUUGUGAUUUUGAGGUCAAAACCAGGCACAAGCAGCUCAAUGGGUGGCCCUAUGGACAAAUUCUGCAAGCCUAGUAUAGAAGAAACUGUCAAGAGGAAGCAAAAAAGAAAUUGUGAAUACGAAAAGGUUCAGUCGAAGGCCAUUGGAGAUGUUGGCAGAAACUCCGAUGGGCCUACUGCAUAUGAGAUGAGUGGACUAUUCUUGCAGAAAAGGAAGAAGAAGGUGUUAGAUUCAUUCAAACCACAUAAGCAAGCAUGGGAGCACACAGGUGUUACUAGGUUUGCCACGGCUUAUCUCAAUCUUAAAAGCUUGCAAGACAACAAGAAGGAAAUGCUUAAACUAUUCAGAUCAGAUGAGCUACAUGAAAUGGGUUACUUAGAGAAGGACAAGGGGAAGAUGGCUCACAAAACGGUGCAAUCGGAAGCCUUCUGGAAAGGUGUUGGCGUUGUUGUCAACUACUUUGAGCCAAUGGCUAAUGUGCUAAGAAUAAUGGAUAGUGAUGUGCCCGCAAUGGGAUUCUUAUAUGGUUGUAUGUUGGAUGCAAAAAAGGAAAUUGUUGCGAGUUUUGAUAAUGAUGAGAGUCGCUUCAAAUGUGUUAUUGAUAUCAUUGACAAGAGAUGGGACAGAAAACUCAAGUCGCCACUACAUUUGGUUGGGUACUUUCUGAAACCCUACUAUUAUUAUCCAAACAAGGUUGUGAUAGAGAGGGAUGGAUCAUUUACAAUAGUCAUGGUCCAUUGCAUCACAAGGAUGAUUAAAGAUCAAAAAACUCAAGAUGAGCUUAUUGAUGAACUCGACAAAUACGAGGCGGAGGAAGAUUCCUUUGGAAUGGACAUUGCUGUACGACAGAGAAAAAUCAAGAUGGUGGCUAAAUUAUGGCACAUGUGCACCCCUGUUGAAGGACUUGGCAAUGAAGAUUUUGAGUUUGACAUCAGGCUACUCCAUGAUAGGAUGAGUGAUCUUGUAUUUAUCAAGUUCAACACUAGGAUGAAGCAUAAGAGAGAGAACAAGAGUAGAGACCCAAUAGAGAAGACAAUCGUUGAUGUUCUUGAAGACGAGGAUAACGAGUUCAUCACCGGCAUUGUUGGAAAUGAUAAUGUUCUUGAACAUGUUGGUGAUGAAGAUCAAACUCAACAAGAGAGAGCUUCAACUUCACAAGAACAAGGGAAAAAGAAGAAGAGGCCUACUGCGCCCCCUAGAAAGAAGAUGAAUAAGAGCUUGCAAUCUCUCCUUAAUAGUGUCAAUGAGGAAGCUAUACUUUCUGCCUCUUCCAAUUCUUGUUCGUCAGAAUCAGAAGAUGAGUCUCCCUCGGCCCUUGCUGACAAGGAUUAA